CGGUGGAUGCCUUGGCGAUGAGAGGCGAAGAAGGACGUGGACAGCUGCGAUAAGCUGAGGGGAGCCGCUCACAGGCUAUGAUCCUCAGAUCUCCGAAUGGGGCAACCCACCAGUCAGCGAUGGCUGGUAUCCUGAUGCUGAAUUCAUAGGCGUCAGGGAGCGAACCCGGGGAAGUGAAACAUCUCAGUACCCGGAGGAAAAGAAGACAAGACAGUGACUCCCCUAGUAGCGGCGAGCGAACGGGGACGAGGCCAAACCGGAAGUAGUGAUACUCCCGGGGUUGUAGGGCCUGCGAUAUCGCAUUCGAAGUCGCGAGCGAAACAGACUUGGAACGGUCGGCCAUAGAGGGUGACAGCCCCCUUUCGCAAAGUGACGACGAGCGUAGCAGGUACCUGAGUACCGCAGGACACGUGUAAUCCAGCGGGAACUCCGGCGGGACCAUCCG
rnacentral:rRNA from 1 species